rnacentral:rRNA from 1 species
UACGUAGGGUGCAAGCGUUGUCCGGAAUUAUUGGGCGUAAAGAGCUCGUAGGCGGUCUGUCGCGUCUGCUGUGAAAAACUCGGGGGCUUAACCCCCGGGCCUGCAGUGGGUACGGGCAGACUAGAGUGCGGUAGGGGGAGACUGGAAUUCCUGGUGUAGCGGUGAAAUGCGCAGAUAUCAGGAGGAACACCGGUGGCGAAGGCGGCAUCCUGGACCGGUAUUGACGCUGAGGCGCGAAAGCCAGGGGAGCAAACGGG